rnacentral:rRNA from 1 species
AUUAAGCCUUGUUAGUCGUACGGGUUAGACCCGGGGAAGAUAGUUCAGUACCAUUUGGCCAUUCUACCUUGUAGCCCCUGACUUCUUCGGCCUUUUGAGGCCAAUCGGGAAUACGGGUCCCUUGUUGGAACGCCGGGACCCCUAAACGGUCCGCCGUUACAGGAUGAGGUUGCGGCCAAUUAGGUUGACGGGGGGGUAACGGCCCACCGGGCCAAUAAUCGGUACGGGGGGUGAAAGAACAAGCCCGAAAACGGAUUCUAAAACAAAAUUUCGGGCCCUACGGGGGGCAGCAGGGGCAAAACUUUUACACUGCACGCACGUGCAAUAAGGGAACUCCAAGGGCGAGGGCUUAUAGUCCUCGUUUUUCUGAACCGUAGGGAGGUUCAGGAACAAAAGUUGGGCAAGACCGGUGCCAGCCGCCGCGUUAUUACCGGCAGUUCGAGUGAUGACCGAUCUUAUUGGGCCUAAAGCGUCCGUAGCCGGCCGGCCAAGUCCGUCGGAAAAUCUGUUCGUUCAACAAGCAGGCGUCCGGCGAAAACCAGUCGGUUUGGGGCCGGAAAACCCAAGGGGUACGUCCGGGGUAGAAGUGAAAUCCCGUAUUCCCGGACGGACCGCCGGUGGCAAAAGCGCCUCGGAAAGACGGACCCGACGGGGAGGAACAAAAGCUAGGGUCACGAACCGAAUAAAAUACCCGGGUAGUCCUAGCCGUAAACGAUGUUCGCUAGGUGCGCCACCGGUUACAAGCCCGGGUGGUGCCGCAGGGAAGCCGCUAAGCGAACCGCUUGGAAAAGUCGUCCGCAAGGAUGAAAUUCAAAGGAAUUG